GAUGAAGAACGUAGCGAAAUGCGAUAAGUAAUGUGAAUUGCAGAAUUCAGUGAAUCAUCGAAUCUUUGAACGCACCUUGCGCCCUUUGGCCAUUCCGAAGGGCAUGCCUGUUUGAGUAUCAUGAACACCUCAACUCUCAUGGCUCGCCAUGAUGAGCUUGGAUUUGGGGGUCUUGCUGGCCUGUGGUCGGCUCCUCUCAAAUGGAUCAGCUUGCCAGUGUUUGGUGGCAUCACAGGUGUGAUAACUAUCUGCGCUUGUGGUUUUCCAUCAGAUAACCUUCAGUUAUGGAGGUUCGCUGGAGCUCAUAAACGUCUCCCCUAAGCGGGGACAGCCCUUUGAAUGUUUGAUCUCAAAUCAGGUAGGACUACCCGCUGAACUUAAGCAUAUCAAUAAGCGGAGGA
rnacentral:misc_RNA from 1 species